UGAAAUAUAAGCCUACUCCUAA
rnacentral:piRNA from 1 species